rnacentral:rRNA from 1 species
UUUUGCAUAAUGAGCCUGCGAGUUGUGGUGUCUGGCAAGGUUAAGCAAACGCGAAGCCGUAGCGAAAGCGAGUCUGAAUAGGGCGCUUAGUCAGAUGCUGCAGACCCGAAACGAAGUGAUCUAUCCAUGAGCAAGUUGAAGCUAGUGUAAGAACUAGUGGAGGACUGAACCCAUAGGCGUUGAAAAGCCCCGGGAUGACUUGUGGAUAGGGGUGAAAGGCCAAUCAAACUUCGUGAUAGCUGGUUCUCUCCGAAAUAUAUUUAGGUAUAGCGUUGUGUCGUAAUAUAAGGGGGUAGAGCACUGAAUGGGCUAGGGCAUACACCAAUGUACCAAACCCUAUCAAACUCCGAAUACCUUAUAUGUAAUCACAGCAGUCAGGCGGCGAGUGAUAAAAUCCGUCGUCAAGAGGGAAACAACCCAGACUACCAGCUAAGGUCCCUAAAUCUUACUUAAGUGGAAAACGAUGUGAAGUUACUUAAACAACCAGGAGGUUGGCUUAGAAGCAGCCAUCCUUUAAAGAAAGCGUAAUAGCUCACUGGUCUAGUGAUUUUGCGCGGAAAAUAUAACGGGGCUAAAGUAAGUACCGAAGCUGUAGACUUAGUUUACUAAGUGGUAGGAGAGCGUUCUAUUUGCGUCGAAGGUAUACCGGUAAGGAGUGCUGGAGCGAAUAGAAGUGAGCAUGCAGGCAUGAGUAGCGAUAAUUAAUGUGAGAAUCAUUAACGCCGUAAACCCAAGGUUUCCUACGCGAUGCUCGUCAUCGUAGGGUUAGUCGGGUCCUAAGUCGAGUCCGAAAGGGGUAGACGAUGGCAAAUUGGUUAAUAUUCCAAUACCAACAUUAGUGUGCGAUGGAAGGACGCUUAGGGCUAAGGGGGCUAGCGGAUGGAAGUGCUAGUCUAAGGUCGUAGGAGGUUAUACAGGCAAAUCCGUAUAACAAUACUCCGAGAACUGAAAGGCUUUUUGAAGUCUUCGGAUGGAUAGAAGAACCCCUGAUGCCGUCGAGCCAAGAAAAGUUUCUAAGUUUAGCUAAUGUUGCCCGUACCGUAAACCGACACAGGUGGGUGGGAUGAGUAUUCUAAGGCGCGUGGAAGAACUCUCUUUAAGGAACUCUGCAAAAUAGCACCGUAUCUUCGGUAUAAGGUGUGGUUAGCUUUGUAUUAGGAUUUACUCCGAAAGCAAGGAAACUUACAACAAAGAGUCCCUCCCGACUGUUUACCAAAAACACAGCACUCUGCUAACUCGUAAGAGGAUGUAUAGGGUGUGACGCCUGCCCGGUGCUCGAAGGUUAAUUGAUGGGGUUAGCAUUAGCGAAGCUCUUGAUCGAAGCCCGAGUAAACGGCGGCCGUAACUAUAACGGUCCUAAGGUAGCGAAAUUCCUUGUCGGUUAAAUACCGACCUGCAUGAAUGGCGUAACGAGAUGGGAGCUGUCUCAAAGAGGGAUCCAGUGAAAUUGUAGUGGAGGUGAAAAUUCCUCCUACCCGCGGCAAGACGGAAAGACCCCGUGGACCUUUACUACAGCUUGACACUGCUACUUGGAUAAGAAUGUGCAGGAUAGGUGGGAGGCUUUGAGUAUAUGACGCCAGUUGUAUAUGAGCCAUUGUUGAGAUACCACUCUUUCUUAUUUGGGUAGCUAACCAGCUUGAGUUAUCCUCAAGUGGGACAAUGUCUGGUGGGUAGUUUGACUGGGGCGGUCGCCUCCCAAAUAAUAACGGAGGCUUACAAAGGUUGGCUCAGAACGGUUGGAAAUCGUUCGUAGAGUAUAAAGGUAUAAGCCAGCUUAACUGCAAGACAUACAAGUCAAGCAGAGACGAAAGUCGGUCUUAGUGAUCCGGUGGUUCUGUGUGGAAGGGCCAUCGCUCAAAGGAUAAAAGGUACCCCGGGGAUAACAGGCUGAUCUCCCCCAAGAGCUCACAUCGACGGGGAGGUUUGGCACCUCGAUGUCGGCUCAUCGCAUCCUGGGGCUGGAGCAGGUCCCAAGGGUAUGGCUGUUCGCCAUUUAAAGCGGUACGCGAGCUGGGUUCAGAACGUCGUGAGACAGUUCGGUCCCUAUCUGCCGUGGGCGUAAGAAGAUUGAAGAGAUUUGACCCUAGUACGAGAGGACCGGGUUGAACAAACCACUGGUGUAGCUGUUGUUCUGCCAAGAGCAUCGCAGCGUAGCUAAGUUUGGAAAGGAUAAACGCUGAAAGCAUCUAAGCGUGAAGCCAACUCUAAGAUGAAUCUUCUCUAAGCUCUCUAGAAGACUACUAGUUUGAUAGGCUGGGUGUGUAAUGGAUGAAAGUCCUUUAGCUGACCAGUACUAAUAGAGCGUUUGGCUUAUCUUUAAUAAAGCAU